UACAGGGGGUGCAAACGUUGCUCGGAAUCAUUGGGCGUAAAGCGCACGUAGGCGGUCUGUUAUGUCGGAUGUGAAAGCCCUUGGCUCAACUGAGGAAGUGCAUCCGAAACUGGCAGGCUAGAGUACUAAAGAGGGUCGCGGAAUUCCCGGUGUAGAGGUGAAAUUCGUAGAUAUCGGGAGGAACACCGGUGGCGAAGGCGGCGACCUGGGGUAGAUACUGACGGCUGAGGUGGCGAAAAGCGUGGGGAGCAAACAGGG
rnacentral:rRNA from 1 species